rnacentral:rRNA from 1 species
GAUGAACGCUGGCGGCGUGCCUAAUACAUGCAAGUCGAGCGAACAGAUGAGAAGCUUGCUUCUCUGAUGUUAGCGGCGGACGGGUGAGUAACACGUGGGUAACCUACCUAUAAGACUGGGAUAACUCCGGGAAACCGGGGCUAAUACCGGAUAAUAUUUUGAACCGCAUGGUUCAAUAGUGAAAGACGGUUUCGGCUGUCACUUAUAGAUGGACCCGCGCCGUAUUAGCUAGUUGGUAAGGUAACGGCUUACCAAGGCGACGAUACGUAGCCGACCGGAGAGGGUGAUCGGCAACACUGGAACUGAGACACGGUCCAGACUCCAACGGGAGGCAGCAGUAGGGAAUCUUCCGCAAUGGGCGAAAGCCUGACGGAGCAACGCCGCGUGAGUGAUGAAGGUCUUCGGAUCGUAAAACUCUGUUGUUAGGGAAGAACAAAUUUGUUAGUAACUGAACAAGUCUUGACGGUACCUAACCAGAAAGCCACGGCUAACUACGUGCCAGCCGCCGCCGUAA